rnacentral:rRNA from 1 species
AUUGAACGCUGGCGGCAGGCCUAACACAUGCAAGUCGAGCGGAUGAAGGGAGCUUGCUCCUGGAUUCAGCGGCGGACGGGUGAGUAAUGCCUAGGAAUCUGCCUGGUAGUGGGGGAUAACGUCCGGAAACGGGCGCUAAUACCGCAUACGUCCUGAGGGAGAAAGUGGGGGAUCUUCGGACCUCACGCUAUCAGAUGAGCCUAGGUCGGAUUAGCUAGUUGGUGGGGUAAAGGCCUACCAAGGCGACGAUCCGUAACUGGUCUGAGAGGAUGAUCAGUCACACUGGAACUGAGACACGGUCCACUCCUACGGGAGGCAGCAGUGGGGAAUAUUGGACAAUGGGCGAAAGCCUGAUCCAGCCAUGCCGCGUGUGUGAAGAAGGUCUUCGGAUUGUAAAGCACUUUAAGUUGGGAGGAAGGGCAGUAAGUUAAUACCUUGCUGUUUUGACGUUACCAACAGAAUAAGCACCGGCUAACUUCGUG